rnacentral:rRNA from 1 species
CCUACGGGAGGCAGCAGUGGGGAAUUUUCCGCAAUGGGCGAAAGCCUGACGGAGCAAGACCGCGUGAGGGAGGAAGGCCUAUUGGUUGUAAACCUCUUUUGAUAGGGAAGAACACAAUGACGGUACCUAUCGAAUCAGCAUCGGCUAACUCCGUGCCAGCAGCCGCGGUAAUACGGAGGAUGCAAGCGUUAUCCGGAUUUAUUGGGCGUAAAGACGUCCGUAGGUGGCAAUCCAAGUCAGUUGUUAAAGCGUAGAGCUUAACUCUAUAAGGGCAAUUGAAACUAGGAUAGCUAGAGUGCGAUAGGGGCGAAGGGGAAGUUCCCAGUGUAGCGGUGAAAUGCGUAGAUAUUGGGAAGAACAUCGGUGGCGAAGGCGCCUUGCUGGGUCUGCACUGACACUGAGGGACGAAAGCUAGGGGAGCGAAAGGGAUUAGAUACCCCUGUAGUCCUAGCCGUAAACGAUGGAUACUAGGCGUUGUCCGUAUCGACCCGGGCAGUGCCGUAGCUAACGCGUUAAGUAUCCCGCCUGGGGGAGGUACGCGCGCGAGAGAGAACGUAAAGUAAGUAGUACGCGNGAGACGAGCGACGACGACGACGAGGAGGAGG